AAGUCGAACGAACUCUGGUAUUGAUUGGUGCUUGCAUCAUGAUUUACAUUUGAGUGAGUGGCGAACUGGUGAGUAACACGUGGGAAACCUGCCCAGAAGCGGGGGAUAACACCUGGAAACAGAUGCUAAUACCGCAUAACAACUUGGACCGCAUGGUCCGAGUUUGAAAGAUGGCUUCGGCUAUCACUUUUGGAUGGUCCCGCGGCGUAUUAGCUAGAUGGUGGGGUAACGGCUCACCAUGGCAAUGAUACGUAGCCGACCUGAGAGGGUAAUCGGCCACAUUGGGACUGAGACACGGCCCAAACUCCUACGGGAGGCAGCAGUAGGGAAUCUUCCACAAUGGACGAAAGUCUGAUGGAGCAACGCCGCGUGAGUGAAGAAGGGUUUCGGCUCGUAAAACUCUGUUGUUAAAGAAGAACAUAUCUGAGAGUAACUGUUCAGGUAUUGACGGUAUUUAACCAGAAAGCCACGGCUAACUACGUGCCAGCAGCCGCGGUAAUACGUAGGUGGCAAGCGUUGUCCGGAUUUAUUGGGCGUAAAGCGAGCGCAGGCGGUUUUUUAAGUCUGAUGUGAAAGCCUUCGGCUCAACCGAAGAAGUGCAUCGGAAACUGGGAAACUUGAGUGCAGAAGAGGACAGUGGAACUCCAUGUGUAGCGGUGAAAUGCGUAGAUAUAUGGAAGAACACCAGUGGCGAAGGCGGCUGUCUGGUCUGUAACUGACGCUGAGGCUCGAAAGUAUGGGUAGCAAACAGGAUUAGAUACCCUGGUAGUCCAUACCGUAAACGAUGAAUGCUAAGUGUUGGAGGGUUUCCGCCCUUCAGUGCUGCAGCUAACGCAUUAAGCAUUCCGCCUGGGGAGUACGGCCGCAAGGCUGAAACUCAAAGGAAUUGACGGGGGCCCGCACAAGCGGUGGAGCAUGUGGUUUAAUUCGAAGCUACGCGAAGAACCUUACCAGGUCUUGACAUACUAUGCAAAUCUAAGAGAUUAGACGUUCCCUUCGGGGACAUGGAUACAGGUGGUGCAUGGUUGUCGUCAGCUCGUGUCGUGAGAUGUUGGGUUAAGUCCCGCAACGAGCGCAACCCUUAUUAUCAGUUGCCAGCAUUAAGUUGGGCACUCUGGUGAGACUGCCGGUGACAAACCGGAGGAAGGUGGGGAUGACGUCAAAUCAUCAUGCCCCUUAUGACCUGGGCUACACACGUGCUACAAUGGAUGGUACAACGAGUUGCGAACUCGCGAGAGUAAGCUAAUCUCUUAAAGCCAUUCUCAGUUCGGAUUGUAGGCUGCAACUCGCCUACAUGAAGUCGGAAUCGCUAGUAAUCGCGGAUCAGCAUGCCGCGGUGAAUACGUUCCCGGGCCUUGUACACACCGCCCGUCACACCAUGAGAGUUUGUAACACCCAAAGUCGGUGGGGUAACCUUUUAGGAACCAGCC
rnacentral:rRNA from 2 species